rnacentral:rRNA from 1 species
GACGAACGCUGGCGGCGUGCUUAACACAUGCAAGUCGAACGGUGAAGGGACCGGUUUUUGCUGGUUCUGGAUGAGUGGCGAACGGGUGAGUAACACGUGAGUAACCUGCCCCCUUCUUCUGGAUAACCGCAUGAAAGUGUGGCUAAUACGGGAUAUUCUGCGCCUGCUGCAUGGCGGGUGUGGGAAAGAUAUUGUUUCGGUGGGGGAUGGGCUCGCGGCCUAUCAGCUUGUUGGUGGGGUGAUGGCCUACCAAGGCGGUGACGGGUAGCCGGCCUGAGAGGGUGGACGGUCACACUGGGACUGAGACACGGCCCAGACUCCUACGGGAGGCAGCAGUGGGGAAUAUUGCACAAUGGGCGCAAGCCUGAUGCAGCGACGCCGCGUGAGGGAUGGAGGCCUGCGGGUUGUAAACCUCUUUCGCCAGUGAAGCAGGCCUGUCCCUUUUGUGGGUGGGUUGACGGUAGCUGGAUAAGAAGCGCCGGCUAACUACGUG